CCAAUAGCGUAUAUUAAAGUUGUUGUGGUUAAAAAGCUCGUAGUUGAACCUUGGGCCUGGCUGGCCGGUCCGCCUCACCGCGUGUACUGGUCCGGCCGGGCCUUUCCCUCUGUGGAACCUCAUGCCCUUCACUGGGUGUGACGGGGAAGCAGGACUUUUACUGUGAAAAAAUUAGAGUGCUCCAAGCAGGCCUAUGCUCGAAUACAUUAGCAUGGAAUAAUAAAAUAGGACGUUCGGUUCUAUUUUGUUGGUUUCUAGGACCGCCGUAAUGAUUAAUAGGGACAGUCGGGGGCAUCAGUAUUCAAUUGUCAGAGGUGAAAUUCUUGGAGUGAUUGAAGACUAACUACUGCGAAAGCAUUUGCCAAGGAUGUUUUCAUUAAUCAGGAACGAAAGUUAGGGGAUCGAAGACGAUCAGAUACCGUCGUAGUCUUAACCAUAAACUAUGCCGACUAGGAAUCAGACGAUGUUAAUUUUUUAAUGACUCGUUUGGCACCUUACG
rnacentral:misc_RNA from 1 species